rnacentral:rRNA from 1 species
UACGUAGGGGGCUAGCGUUGUCCGGAAUUAUUGGGCGUAAAGAGCUCGUAGGCGGUUUGUCGCGUCUGCCGUGAAAGUCCGGGGCUCAACUCCGGAUCUGCGGUGGGUACGGGCAGACUAGAGUGAUGUAGGGGGAGACUGGAAUUCCUGGUGUAGCGGUGAAAUGCGCAGAUAUCAGGAGGAACACCGGUGGCGAAGGCGGGACUCUGGGCCGAUACUGACGCUGAGGAGCGAAAGCGUGGGGAGCAAACAGG